GUAUUACAAUUGUAUUAUUGUGUAUAAGGCAUUCGAAUGGCUCAAGUGUUUGUACAAAGAACAUAGACGAAGUCUUUUUCGCCUACUGAGAGUGCACAGGUGGAUAUAUUUGGGGAUUUGUUAGGAGUGCACGUUGCCUUGAGAGGCCAGCACAUCCUUUAAAAAUCGAUAAUGAUCCUUCCGCAGGUUCACCUACGGAAA
rnacentral:misc_RNA from 1 species